rnacentral:rRNA from 1 species
AGGGCAAGUCUGGUGCCAGCAGCCGCGGUAAUUCCAGCUCCAAUAGCGUAUAUUAAAGUUGUUGCAGUUAAAAAGCUCGUAGUUGGAUUUCUGUUGUAUAUUUAUAAUAUUGCUAAGGUAAUUAUUAUAAUAUCAACAUCCUUCCUAUUAUAUUUAUAUAAUAUAUAGGAAAUUUUACUUUGAGAAAAUUAGAGUGCUUAAAGCAGGCAACUGCCUUGAAUACUCCAGCAUGGAAUAAUAAGUAAGGACUUUUGUCUUUCUUAUUGGUUCUAGGACAAAAGUAAUGGUUAAUAGGGACAGUUGGGGGCAUUCGUAUUUAACAGCCAGAGGUGAAAUUCUUAGAUUUGUUAAAGACGAACUACUGCGAAAGCAUUUGCCAAGGAUGUUUUCAUUAAUCAAGAACGAAAGUUAGGGGAUC